UGUGUUUUUUUUCUGCACCCUACUAGGUUCAUCGUUAGCUACCCCACAGCUGAGUGCCAUACUGGUCAUGACGUAACUACAGAAACAGGAAAACUUGCCGGGGAGCUGAGCCAAAGGCAAGAACUUUAUACCUGUGCAUGGCCAUGAUCCCAUGUACAAACAGCCCCAGAGGGUACCCAUGCGUGCUGUCAGCUUACUUAUCUGGGACCAGCGUGUGGCGCACGGCAGUCGGCCCAACAACAGCACGCGAGCAAGGUAUGUUCAAUUUGUAAAGAUGUUCCCAUCCAUCAACCUCCGCUCAGAACGAGCUAAGAAUCGUGGACAGCUUAUCAAGGACAAGGUUGAACUAGCUGGUGUCGACUUGACUGACCUGGGCAAGAAGCUGUUUGCCCUCAAGGCAUGGGCAUCCGCGGACACGAAAGUGCCCCGCGCCAAGGCUAAAAGACAUAGACUACAUGUUCGCAUGGCUCUUUGUACAUUCACAGUUGAGUGGCUCGUUUUAUGUGUAUGUUUAAAUCAUGUACACCCUCUGUCCCUAGUGUUUCAAGUGCAUACUGACGCUAACCUCCAAUGUUAUAUCCUAAGUAUCAGAUCUGCACUAUCGCACAUAAAACUGGUGUAUAUCUCUUUACUGUGUUGACUCACUACCCUACUAGCCACAGUCAUAUUUAUAUCAACAAUAACGUGGGCACCGCAUUAUUUUUUGUUUAGGAGCUGCCGGUACACCGGUAGCAUGGGUCACGCUAGUGCAAAAUAGGCUAGACUACAUGCAGCCGCGAUCCAGGCACUAUUCCAUCCAAGAAAUAGUGGGAGUAGCUAUCCUGAUGCCUUGCAACAUGUCCAAACGACUUCAACUUGAUGCUUGGUAAUAAAACUAAUUAUGGACCUUGCUCUUUAAAAAAAAUAGUUCAAUACUCGUAAAAUGAGUGCCAAUGGGCAAAGGUCUGGUGCUGCACUGAGAACACAUGAGUGGUGACAUCUCGUACUGCAAUAGGAACUACCAUAAAGUACCGCCAGA